rnacentral:lncRNA from 1 species
GAAAGCUUCCUCACAUUUGGUUAAGUCCUAUUUUGAUUCAAAAAUGACAUAUAUUUCAAUGAGUUUAUGAUAUGAAAUUUACACACACCAUCAAACUACUCAUGUUAAGUCUAGAAAGCGAUAAAGUGUAUCUUGAAAUGCCGACACUAAUUCUUAUCAUCACCACUCGAAGUGUCAUAUGCUUCUUUCUUUGCGAUCAUUUCUUGGUUGCUUUAAGCUUGACUUACGAAUAAGAACAAUUAAACAAAAAAUGUUGGUAAACCAAUUUGAUUGUAACACACUUAAAUCUCAAAAAGUAUUCAUGCAAUUAUCAAAACAACUAAUCAAACCAAAGUUUUGGUGAACUAGAGCCACCCAAAAGUAC